GCCGGGGUGGCGGAAUUGGUAGACGCACUCGACUCAAAAUCGAGCGGGAAACCGUAAGGGUUCGAGUCCCUUCCUCGGCACCA
rnacentral:tRNA from 1 species